rnacentral:rRNA from 1 species
AGGUCAAGUGAAGAAGGGCGCACGGUGAAUGCCUUGGCACUGGAAGCCGAUGAAGGACGCGACUAACCGCGAAAGUCUUCGGGGAGCCGUAAGUAGGCUUUGAUCCGGAGGUCUCCGAAUGGGGGAACCCAGCAUGUGCAGACAUGCUAUCCUUAAGUGAAUACAUAGCUUAAGGAGGGAACACGCAGUGAACUGAAACAUCUAAGUAGCUGCAGGAAGAGAAAGAAAUAUCGAUUUC